GAACGAGAAAGUGGAGCAAUCCAUGAGUAAAGUGGCGACCGGGUGAGUAACACGUGACUAACCUACCUCCGAGUGGGGAAUAACUCCGGGAAACCGGGGCUAAUACCGCAUAACAUCGCAAGAUCAAAGCAGCAAUGCGCUUGGAGAGGGGGUCGCGGCUGAUUAGCUAGUUGGCGGGGUAACGGCCCACCAAGGCGAAGAUCGGUAUCCGGCCUGAGAGGGCGCACGGACACACUGGAACUGAAACACGGUCCAGACUCCUACGGGAGGCAGCAGUGGGGAAUUUUGCGCAAUGGGGGAAACCCUGACGCAGCAACGCCGCGUGGAGGAUGAAGCCCUUUGGGGCGUAAACUCCUUUCGACCAAGACGAUAAUGACGGUACUGGUGGAAGAAGCACCGGCUAACUCUGUG
rnacentral:rRNA from 1 species